rnacentral:rRNA from 1 species
AAGCUUUCACCUGCAGGCUGGGCAUUGGGUUUCGGGCUUUUCUUGCGCAGUCUAGGUGGGAGGCUUUUGAAGGUUUUCCUUCCGGGGAAGCUGGAGCCAUCAGUGAGAGACCACCUCUGGAAAGGCUAGAAUUCCUAAAUGGUGAUCCUUGAAUCAGGACACUUGACAAUUGUCAGCUAGACAGGUUUUUCUUGGGGCGGAAAGGCUCCUAAAAAGGUAACGGAGCUGUGUGCAAAAAGGUUUCUUCCCUCAGUCUGGACGGAAAUCAGACGUGGAGUGUAAAGGCCAAAAGGGAGCUUGACUGCAAGACGCUACAAGUCGAGCAGGCCGAGCGAAAGCUGGCCUUCAGUGAUCCGACGGU